CCUACGGGAGGCAGCAGUGGGGAAUAUUGGGCAAUGGAGGCAACUCUGACCCAGCAACGCCGCGUGAAUGAUGAAGGUCUUCGGAUUGUAAAGUUCUGUGAUGGGGGAUGAACACAAUGACGGUAACCCAAUAGCAAGCCACGGCUAACUACGUGCCAGCAGCCGCGGUAAUACGUAGGUGGCACGCGUUAUCCGGAAUGACUGGGCGUAAGGGGUGCGAAGGUGGUUUAGUAAGUUGGCGGUGUAAGUCCGGGGCUUAACCUCGGCGCUACCGCCAAAACUAUUAGACUAGAGUGCUUGAGGGGUAAGUGGAAUUCCUAGUGUAGCGGUGGAAUGCGUAGAUAUUAGGAGGAACAUCAGGGGCGAAGGCGACCUACUGGACUGUUACUGACGCUGAGGCACGAAAGCGUGGGGAGCAAACAGGAUUAGAUACCCUUGUAGUC
rnacentral:rRNA from 1 species